rnacentral:rRNA from 1 species
UACGUAGGGUGCGAGCGUUGUCCGGAAUUAUUGGGCGUAAAAGGGCUCGUAGGCGGUUUGUCGCGUCGGGAGUGAAAUCCACUGGCUUAACUGGUGGCUUGCUUUCGAUACGGGCAGACUGGAGGUAUGCAGGGGGAGAACGGAAUUCCUGGUGUAGCGGUGAAAAUGCGCAGAUAUCAGGAGGAACACCGGUGGCGAAGGCGGUUCUCUGGGCAUGUCCUGACGCUGAGGAGCGAAAGUGUGGGGAGCGAACAGG